rnacentral:rRNA from 1 species
UACAGAGGUCUCAAGCGUUAUCCGGAAUUAUUGGGCGUAAAGAGCUCGUAGGCGGUUUGUCACGUCUGCUGUGAAAACUGGAGGCUCAACCUCCAGCCUGCAGUGGGUACGGGCAGACUAGAGUGCGGUAGGGGAGAUUGGAAUUCCAGGUGUAGCGGUGAAAUGCGUAGAUAUCUGGAGGAACACCGGUGGCGAAGGCGGCAUCCUGGACCGAGAUUGACGCUGAGGCGCGAAAGCCAGGGGAGCAAACGGG